GACGAACGCUGGCGGCGUGCUUAACACAUGCAAGUCGAACGGAAAGGCCUCUUUCGGGGGGUACUCGAGUGGCGAACGGGUGAGUAACACGUGAGUAACCUGCCCUUGACUUUGGGAUAACUUCAGGAAACUGGGGCUAAUACCGGAUAGGAGCUCCUGCUGCAUGGUGGGGGUUGGAAAGUUUCGGCGGUUGGGGAUGGACUCGCGGCUUAUCAGCUUGUUGGUGGGGUAGUGGCUUACCAAGGCUUUGACGGGUAGCCGGCCUGAGAGGGUGACCGGCCACAUUGGGACUGAGAUACGGCCCAGACUCCUACGGGAGGCAGCAGUGGGGAAUAUCGCACAAUGGGUGGAAGCCUGAUGCAGCAACGCCGUGUGCGGGAUGACGGCCUUCGGGUUGUAAACCGCUUUCGCUCAUGACGAAGCUUUGUGUGACGGUAGUGGGUAAAGAAGCACCGGCUAACUACGUG
rnacentral:rRNA from 1 species